UACGUAGGGGGCAAGCGUUGUCCGGAAUCAUUGGGCGUAAAGAGCGUGUAGGCGGUCCGGUAAGUCGGCUGUGAAAGUCCAGGGCUCAACCCUGGGAUGCCGGCCGAUACUGCCGGACUAGAGUUCGGAAGAGGCGAGUGGAAUUCCCGGUGUAGCGGUGAAAUGCGCAGAGUAUCGGGAGGAACACCGGUGGCGAAGGCGGCAUCCUGGACCAAUAUUGACGCUGAGGAGCGGAAAAGCCAGGGGGAGCAAACGGGG
rnacentral:rRNA from 1 species